GAUGAACGCUGGCGGCGUGCUUAACACAUGCAAGUCGAACGGAAAGGCUCCUGCUUGCAGGGGUACUCGAGUGGCGAACGGGUGAGUAACACGUGGGUGAUCUGCCCUGCACUUCGGGAUAAGCCUGGGAAACUGGGUCUAAUACCGGAUAGGACCACAUUUUGGAUGGUGUGGUGGAAAGUUUUUCGGUGUGGGAUGAGCUCGCGGCCUAUCAGCUUGUUGGUGGGGUAAUGGCCUACCAAGUCGUCGACGGGUAGCCGGCCUGAGAGGGUGUACGGCCACAUUGGGACUGAGAUACGGCCCAGACUCCUACGGGAGGCAGCAGUGGGGAAGAUUGCACAAUGGGCGCAAGCCUGAUGCAGCGACGCCGCGUGGGGGAUGACGGCCUUCGGGUUGUAAACUCCUGUCGCUAGGGACGAAGCGGUUUUGUGACGGUACCUGGAGAAGAAGCACCGGCUAACUACGUG
rnacentral:rRNA from 1 species